rnacentral:tRNA from 1 species
GCUUCGGUGGCGGAAUUGGUAGACGCGCUGGAUUCAAAAUCCAGUUCUUUUGAGAGUGUGGGUUCGAUUCCCACCCGAAGUA